UACGUAGGAGGCAAGCGUUGUCCGGAAUUACUGGGCGUAAAGCGCGUGUAGGUGGUGGGACAAGUCUGCUGUGAAAGCGCCUGGCUUAACCGGGCGAGGUCGGCGGAAACUGUCCGACUAGAGGACGGUAGAGGGGGGUGGAAUUCCCGGUGUAGUGGUGAAAUGCGUAGAGAUGUGGAGGAAUACCGAUGGCGAAGGCAGCCCCCUGGGCCAAUACUGACGCUCAUGCACGAAAGCGUGGGGAGCAAACAGG
rnacentral:rRNA from 1 species